rnacentral:rRNA from 1 species
GUGCCAGCAGCCGCGGUAAUACGUAGGGUGCGAGCGUUAAUCGGAAUUACUGGGCGUAAAGCGUGCGCAGGCGGCUUUGCAAGACAGAGGUGAAAUCCCCGGGCUCAACCUGGGAACUGCCUUUGUGACUGCAAGGCUAGAGUACGGCAGAGGGGGAUGGAAUUCCGCGUGUAGCAGUGAAAUGCGUAGAUAUGCGGAGGAACACCGAUGGCGAAGGCAAUCCCCUGGGCCUGUACUGACGCUCAUGCACGAAAGCGUGGGGAGCAA